rnacentral:rRNA from 1 species
CGGCACGGGUGAGUAACACGUGAAUUAUCUACCUCCCGAGUGGGGAAUAACUGAGAGAAAUCUUAGCUAAUACCGCAUAACACUUACGAGUCAAAGCAGCAAUGCGCUUGGAGAGGAGUUCGCGGCCGAUUAGUUAGUUGGCGGGGUAAUGGCCCACCAAGACGAUGAUCGGUAUCCGGCCUGAGAGGGCGCACGGACACACUGGAACUGAAACACGGUCCAG